GAGUCAUAGAGGACCUGAACUAGGCAGUAGCAGAGGGAUGGAGACAAGAAGACCGCUGUGAGACAUGCCAGGGAAGACGGCCUUCUAGACCCUAGUGACUCUAAGCAUGGUCUCUGGGCCAACAGCCUCAGCAUCUCUCGGGAGAUUGUGAGAAAUGCGAAUUCUCAGGCCCCAACCCAGAUCUACUGAAUAAAAAUCUGCUUGGAAAAGAUCGCCAAGGGAUCCAUAUGCUCCUUAAACUUCAGAAGCACUGCUUUCAGACCACUUGCCUGGGAGAGGGAUGGAGGAAGGAAUGGACGAUGACUCUGAGCCUGUGUUCAAGCAUUAUAAAAUGGGUGAGACCUUCUAGAACAACAUGGAUGAGACCUUUCUUUGAGAAGAGUGCUUUCCCUUCAACAGUGCAAGUGCCAAGAAGCCAGGAGCCAUGUCUAUUUUCUUCUCUACAAGUUCUACUCAGUACCUAAUUCAGUGACUAAUACAGAGCAGGAAUUUGACAGAUGCCUGUUGAAUGAAUGACAAUAGGGGAUUUUGGACAGUUGGAUUAAUUUUUCCAUUUAAGGUAAGACAAGUAAGAUGAGCAUACUGAAGCCCAGAGACAUUAAGUAACUAGGCUCAUUAGUAGUGACAGUGAUGUUGCCACCAAACUGUAAAGCCAGGAUUUGGACUCAGGCAAGUGACCCCACAGUUGUGUUCUUGAGUGCUCCACCGCAGCAUCACUACAGGAAGUGGACUAGAUUCUCAUGGGCCUUCAGGAUGAUGAAGAAUUCUGGACGAUUUACAGUGGAAAAUCAGGAUUACUGUGGUUUUUGCCUGCUCCUCCCUGUUCUUCCUUCUUUGUUGUUUAGACAAAUUCUAAACGACAGACCUUCAGCUCUCAAAUGCUAGAACCUUGACGAAGAUUUAUAGCCUAUUCUCUUUAGAGUGCCACUUUUCCUUCCUUUCUUAACUGGACUAUGAAUGGCUCUUAUCUACUUUUGUUCUUUUAUUUUUUUCACAUUUUACUCCAAUUUCCUAGAAUAAAUUCAUAAAUAAUUGGAAGCUGGUUUGGAGACACAGCAAUAAAUUUUUUUAAAUGAUGCUUUGUAGUAGCGACUUAGGCAUUUUCCUUAUUAUGGAUAUGUCUGGACUGUACAAGGAUCUCUUUGUAUAACCAACCUCAAUAAACUGAUGGAUGGAACAGAGGCUUCAUUUGUCUUUGGCACAGUGGCACUAACCUGCUUCAGAAUUUUGACAUCAAUUGUUAGACAUUAAGUAACUUGCCUCUUUCUCAUGAGCCCAGUCAUCAAAAAGGGACAUGGAAAUAUCCUAAUGUUUCACCUGUUUUAUU
rnacentral:lncRNA from 1 species